rnacentral:rRNA from 1 species
AACGAACGCUGGCGGCAGGCCUAACACAUGCAAGUCGAACGCCCUCUUUCGGGAGGGAGUGGCGCACGGGUGAGUAACGCGUGGGAAUCUGCCCUUUGGUUCGGAAUAACCCUGGGAAACUAGGGCUAACGCCGGAUGAGCCCUGUGUUGAGAGACAUGGGGGAAAGUUUACGCCGAAGGAGGAGCCCGCGUCCGAUUAGCUAGUUGGUGGGUAAGAGCUUACCAAGGCAACGAUCGGUAGCUGGUCUGAGAGGACGAUCAGCCACACUGGGACUGAGACACGGCCCAGACUCCUACGGGAGGCAGCAGUGGGGAAUAUUGGACAAUGGGCGCAAGCCUGAUCCAGCCAU